rnacentral:tRNA from 1 species
GCCUAGCUAGCUCAAUCGGUAGAGCGUGUGACUCUUAAAAUUCUUCAUCAAAAAGAAAAUAAGUCAUCACAAGGUUGGGGGUUCGACCCCCCCGUUGGGCU